rnacentral:rRNA from 1 species
AUUGAACGCUGGCGGCAGGCCUAACACAUGCAAGUCGAGCGAGCGGCGGACGGGUGAGUAAUGUAUGGGGACUGCCCGAUAGAGGGGGAUAACUACUGGAAACGGUAGCUAAUACCGCAUACUAUCGGAUAACCCAUAUGGGAUUAGCUAGUAGGUGAGGUAAUGGCUCACCUAGGCGACGUUCCCUAGCUGGUCUGAGAGGAUGAUCAGCCACACUGGGACUGAGACACGGCCCAGACUCCUACGGAGGCAGCAGUGGGGAAUAUCGCACAAUGGGCUCAAGGCGUAUGCAGCCAGGCCGCGUGUAUGAAGAAGGCCGUAGGGUUGUAAAGUACUUUCAGUCGGGAGGCUUUACCGACAGAAGACGCCUCGGCUAACUCCGUGCCAGCAGCCGCGGUAAC